AUGGCAGCCGAGAGACUCGCUGACGAUCUGCUCGUCGAGAUCCUCGCGCGCGUCCCCGCAAGAUCAGUGUGCCGCUUCAAGUGCGUCUCCAAGGACUGGCUCAGCCUCAUCGAUCACCCCGAUCACCACAGGAAGCUCCCUCAAACCCUAGCAGGAUUUUUUUACGCUAGGAGCGACAACAGGGAGUUGCCUCUGGAAACAGAAGUCCGCUUCGCCGGUGUCUCGGGGAAUCGCUGCCCUCCAGUCGACACCUCUUUUGCCUUCCUGCCCAGCCACCGGCGCGUCGAUCUACUAGACUGCUGCAAUGGCCUCCUCCUCUGUCGCUGGUAUGGCGUUUCCGCUCUUGGUGAUGAGUUUUGUUACAUCGUGUGCAAUCCUGCCACGAAGGAGUGGGUUUCGUUGCCCGACCGUAGCCAUGAAAACAAGGUGGGCAUAGAGCGUCUGGGUUUCGAUCCGACCAUGUCUUCCCACUUCUAUGUGUUUGUGUUGCUAGAGAAUGUCAACUUUAACGCCUACCUUGCUGAAGUGGAAGUGUAUUCGUCGGAAACCAAGAGAUGGGUUUACAAGGAAAUUGGAUGGAACAAAAGAAUUGUGCUUCCUGCUGAGCAGCCUAGCGCUGUCUUCCUCAACGGUUGUUUGCAUUUUUACUCCUUCGACCACGAGACAUACAAUUGUUUGGCUGUUGUCGACACGAAGGGGGAAACAUGGAUGCCGUUCGGUGUCCCUGGUGGUCUGGUUGAUGGUUUUGUUCAGCAGUCACAGGGUUAUCUGCAUUACGCCAAUUUUCAAAAUGAUGGCCAUAGUGAUGUGGUUCGACAAGUAGUCUAUGUUCUCGAGGACUAUGACAGCCAAGAAUGGAUAAUGAAGCACAACAUUGAAGAAAUGUCAUACAUCUUUGGAGGAAUAAAUAGUCUCCUUAAUGGUGACUUUAUUUGGAUUGCGAUUCAUCCGGAAUGCAACUUGGUGUUCUUCAAUGUGGGGCGGGACACCACAUUGAUUUGCUAUAAUAUGGAUCGUCGGCAGGUGGUAUGUAUCAAUGUAUGCUUGAAUCUGGUCCUCAUUUUCUCUCACUGUUGUAUGCAUGGUUUUAAGUUUUGA
rnacentral:rRNA from 1 species